CUACGGGUUGCAGCAGUGGGGAAUAUUGCACAAUGGGGGAAACCCUGAUGCAGCGACGCCGCGUGAGUGAAGAAGUAUUUCGGUAUGUAAAGCUCUAUCAGCAGGGAAGAAAAUGACGGUACCUGACUAAGAAGCCCCGGCUAACUACGUGCCAGCAGCCGCGGUAAUACGUAGGGGGCAAGCGUUAUCCGGAUUUACUGGGUGUAAAGGGAGCGUAGACGGUGAGACAAGUCUGAAGUGAAAUCCCGGGGCUCAACCCCGGAACUGCUUUGGAAACUGCCUGACUGGAGUGCAGGAGAGGUAAGUGGAAUUCCUAGUGUAGCGGUGAAAUGCGUAGAUAUUAGGAGGAACACCAGUGGCGAAGGCGGCUUACUGGACUGUAACUGACGUUGAGGCUCGAAAGCGUGGGGAGCAAACAGGAUUAGAUACCCGCGUAGUC
rnacentral:rRNA from 1 species